rnacentral:lncRNA from 1 species
CCAUACUCAAAAUAUACAAGCCAUUAUGCCAAGAUGGUAUACGGAUAGUGUGAGCGAGCCUCCGACCGUUCCCGAUUUCCGAGCUGGCUUGUCAAAACUACAAGGAAUGAAAAGGAGGGAGUAAGCAUAAAUGCUUAAUAAGUUCACAUGCAAAUAGCAAGUAACAUAACCAUAUAAGCAAACAUAAAACAUCAUUUGCAUAAUCAUCACCAAGACAGUCAUAUCACAUUUUCAUUUAUCAUCUUACCAUAUUGUUGUUAUAUCGAUUUUUCAACCUGAGGGUUAAGUACAUACCUGUUCAAAGUACCCAUUUCACAACACUUAACAAUACGUCCCUUUCAUCUUGAGUAUUCCUCCAUUUCAGUAGAACUUUACCCGUUGAACACAUCGGAAUAUAAUUCGGAUACAUGGAAAGUUUGCACAUCAAUGCCACAUAUGUAGCCAAGCUACCAUGUAACCUGCCUAUAAGUGAACUCGGACUCAACUCAACGAGCUCGGGCGUUCGCAUCCAUAAGUGAACUCGGACUCAACUCAACGAGCUCGGAUGCCUAGUUACAUCUCUCGAACUCGAACUCAACUCAACGAGUUCGGACAUUCGCAUCCAUAAGUGAACUCGGACUCAACUCAACGAGUUCGGAUGCUCAACCAUCCUAGUGACAUGUCACUUGUAUCCUAAUCUAUUCCUAAGGUUCAAACGGGAUUUUCUUCAAACACAUCUCCUUGCCAUCUUCCGUAAAAUACCGAAACCAAUACUCGGUAAUACUUUAUAUUUAACAAUUAAUACACAUAAUUUGCAUUUUAUUCGAAAAUAACCACAAAGCAUAAUAUUUCAUGAUAAUAAUCAGCAUCAGAUCAUAUAAACAACAUUAAAUUGCUUAAAAUGACAAUCAUGUUACUACAUUUACACAUGAACUUACCUCGUAUGCGGAAAUGACUACUUUUACCAUUUCGUCCACAACUUGGUAUUUUCCCCAUUUUAGCCCGAAUUUCAGUUUUCCUUGCUCUAUCAUUUAAAAUAUAGUCUAAUUAGGACUCACAUUAUUCAAAUUGACCCAAAAUCAUAUUUUGGAAAAAUUACAAUUUUGCCCCUAAACUUUUGCAUAUUUACAUUUUUCCCCAAAGCUCGUAAAUUAAACUUCAGCCUAUUUUCUUAUGUUUUAUGACAUGCUGAUCAUUUUUCCCUUAUAUGGAAACAUCAAAUUCUCACUCUAACAUGUACUUAUGACUAUUAGAUAUUUUUAUCGAUUAAGCCAUUUUGCUCGUUUUCACUUAAAACCGAGUAGCACAAGUUUUCUAACAUAAUUUAAAACCUCAUAUUCUAUCAUAAAACACCAAAAUACACAAAUUUCACCUAUGGGUAUUUUUCCAAAUAUAAACCCUAGGUUAAAUUAUUGCUAGCAUAAGCUAAAUCGAGCUACCGGGACUCCAAAAACGUAAAAAUCAUUAAAAACAAGGCUAGAACGGACUUACAAUCGAGCUUGGAAGCUUGAAAAACCCUAUCCAUGGUUUCUCCU